rnacentral:rRNA from 1 species
UACGUAGGUGGCAAGCGUUGUCCGGAUUUACUGGGCGUAAAGGGCGUGCAGGCGGCUUGUUAAGUGCAGGGUGAAAGCUCCCGGCUCAACUGGGAGAGGUUCUUGCAUACUGGCGAGCUCGAGGGAGGCAGAGGAAAGUGGAAUUCCCGGUGUAGUGGUGAUAUGCGUAGAUAUCGGGAGGAACACCUGUGGCGAAGGCGGCGUUCUGGGCCGUUCCUGACGCUGAGACGCGAAAGCGUGGGGAGCGAACAGG